UCUCUCAACCUAACUCUAAUCUCUUUCAAUCACCACGUCAUCUCCAGCUAUCUCCAGUGGCCACCUUUCAACUCCAAGCCUCAAAUGGUUCUUCCAUUGCCUUGCUCAUCAUCUCUAAGGCCUUCAAGAGCCUUGAGCCAUGCCGAUUUGGAUCUAGAGUUUCUGUUUCUGUUGUUCAUGGUUUCUCCGGUGUGAUUUUAGACAAAAUCACACAAUAUUUGUUACGAUCUCUGAAGUUUAUAGCAGGUUCUUCUGUUUCUAUUUGGGUUUCCUUUGAAACCCUAACUGUCGUUUGAAUCUCUUAGAUCUAUGUUGUUUUUAACGCUUUAUGUCUGUUUCUUCCUAUGUUUUGCACUAUUCACGAACUUCUUCUGAAAAAUCCUCAUCUUUAAAC
rnacentral:lncRNA from 1 species